rnacentral:rRNA from 1 species
GGUUGAGAUCAUACCUGCACUAAUGCACCGGAUCCCAUCAGAACUCCGCAGUUAAGCGUGCUUGGGCGAGAGUAGUACUAGGAUGGGUGACCCCCUGGGAAGUCCUGGUGUUGCAACCC